AACGCGAAAGCGGGCUUCGGCCCGCAAGUAGAGUGGCAGACGGGUGAGUAACGCGUGGGUGACCUACCUUCGAGUGGGGGAUAACCUUCCGAAAGGAGGGCUAAUACCGCAUAACAUCCCGCUUUUUGAGAAGCGGUGAUCAAAGCUGGGGAUCGCAAGACCUGGCGCUUGUUGAGGGGCCCGCGUCCGAUUAGCUUGUUGGUGGGGUAAUGGCUCACCAAGGCUCCGAUCGGUAGCCGGCCUGAGAGGGCGGACGGCCACACUGGGACUGAGACACGGCCCAGACUCCUACGGGAGGCAGCAGUGGGGAAUUGUUCGCAAUGGGCGAAAGCCUGACGACGCAACGCCGCGUGGAGGACGAAGAUCUUCGGGUCGUAAACUCCUGUCGAGCGGGAAGAAACGUUUCCGGGUGAAUAGCCCGGAGACCUGACGGUACCGCUUGAAGGAAG
rnacentral:rRNA from 1 species